rnacentral:tRNA from 1 species
UAGGAUGUAGCUCAAUUGGUAGAGUACUUGUCUUACUACACAUGAAAACCUGAGUUCAAUGCCCAGCACCCCAU